rnacentral:rRNA from 1 species
UUGACGGUACUGUAAGAAUAAGGAUCGGCUAACUCCGUGCCAGCAGCCGCGGUAAUACGGAGGAUCCAAGCGUUAUCCGGAAUCAUUGGGUUUAAAGGGUCCGCAGGCGGUUUUUUAAGUCAGAGGUGAAAUCCUGCAGCUCAACUGUAGAAUUGCCUUUGAUACUGAAAGACUUGAGUUAUUGUGAAGUGGUUAGAAUGUGUGGUGUAGCGGUGAAAUGCAUAGAUAUCACACAGAAUACCAAUUGCGAAGGCAGAUCACUAACAAUAUACUGACGCUCAGGGACGAAAGCGUGGGUAGCGAACAGGAUUAGAUACCCUGGUAGUCCACGCCGUAAACGAUGGAUACUAGCUGUAUGUCUACCUCAGGUAGAUGUGUGGCCAAGCGAAAGUGAUAAGUAUCCCACCUGGGGAGUACGAUCGC